GAUGAAGAAGCAGCGAAAUGCGAUAAGUAGUGUGAAUUGCAGAAUUCAGUGAAUCAUCGAAUCUUUGAACGCACAUUGCGCCCCUUGGUAUUCCAUGGGGCAUGCCUGUUCGAGCGUCAUUUGUACCUUCAAGCUUUGCUUGGUGUUGGGUGUUUGUCCCUCGGGACUCGCCUUAAAGUCAUUGGCAGCCAGUGUUUUGGUUUUGAAGCGCAGCACAAGUCGCGAUUCAAGGCUAUCCGCCCGCUUCCACAAGCCUUUUUCACUUUUGACCUCGGAUCAGGUAGGGAUACCCGCUGAACUUAAGCAUAUCAAUAAGCGGAGGA
rnacentral:misc_RNA from 1 species